GGUGGUCUAGCGGUUAGAACGCUGGCCUUGUAAUCCUGGGGUCUCGGGUUCGAUUCCCGGUGGUUCCA
rnacentral:tRNA from 1 species